rnacentral:piRNA from 1 species
AUAACUCCUCAUUGUAAACAGACUGUAAC